CCAGCCCUUUUGAUUAUCUUUGCACAACUCCCUGGGAAGGCAUUUCCGGAGAAGACACUGGGAUACAGCUGAUUAAAAGAUAAACGAUUAUCUUUGAAACUGGUUGACCUCCGUUUUUUCGGACAUUAUUGCCUUCUUGCUAUCAAAGACCCGACGUAACCACAACCACAACUCACAAUGCAGGAAGCUGGUGUGACCUACAAAAUAAGAUUUCCUUUUUUCUUUCAAAAUAAAAUCCGGGAUAAACGGCAAACCCCUUGUCCCGGUGAUUCAAACAUCGGGAUCUUGUUAGAGUUCUCUGAUCUUUCCUAUUGGGGUUCACCUGGAGAAAAGCGAUCCACAUCAAAGUCUAAAGCCUCAGCUCCUGCCACUCCACUCCACCCAAGUGCUGCUAACCCCUAUUACCACAUUUCAAAACUCUAAAACUCCUUUAUCAGUCAUGUGCUGAGUGAAAUAUCCAGAAAUCCCCUUUUCGUCUGCAGUAAAAUGAAGCUGGCAUGGACUGAGGGUUUUGAUUUUCUUCCCAAGGUCAUGCUGGCUCUGAUCUGGCACUGGGUGGCGACAGUUCAGACUGUGUUUACAGAGCUUUGUCUUAAUUAGGUGCUGAUUAAUUACAACUUGCGGUAGCCAAAAUACAUUAAGACACAAUGUAGCAAAAUCAAAUAAACAUUAUUUUCACUCUAGAAUAACAUACACCCCCUUUAAUAUCCAUCAGCAAAUAUAGUUUGCAGUGGUGUGUUCAGUGUAAACAUCAACAGAAUAUCCUCAGUAACAUUAUGGCAAACUAAACUGUAACGUCUGUUGACGUGAACAUGAGUCUGUGCCAUCUUAUAUUCUCUCUUUCAUUAUUAAACACACUAUGCGCAGUAGUUGCUGCUCCUAUUUCCCUUUCACUCAUCUGACAAGUAUGCACAUAUAAGGUUACUGCUUUGUUUAAUUCAUCGCACUGACUGUAUAUCAAUGUGUCAAUGCAGCACAGACAAAACAAGCAUUUCUACAAUAACAGUGUAUUGCAACAUUUGUGUUAUCAGUAUAAGGAAAAAUGCUUAAUUGCUCUUUAUUUUAUUUAAGAAGAACAUUUUUAAAUUUGCACAUAUUAUAUUUCACACUGUUGCUGUGUAAAGAAAAACAAUCCUGUUUUCCCCUCAAGGUCAGAGCUGCUGGUUUCACAAUGUUCUUAUAUCAGUCUGAUAUAACUGUCUGGUUGUUGCUGAAACCCGUCAAAUGCACGACCUUCAGUGGAACAUGGCUUUUGAUCAUGUUGAGGAAAAGGUCGUUUUCUUCCUUGCUGUCUGGAACCGAGAAGUUCUAUAGAACCUGUGUGACUGGCUUUGUGUCACUAUAAUGAUUCUAUCUGAAAUAAAACCAUGGUUUACCAAUGUAUUAAACUAUUUUGCUAAAUACCCUAAUUUUAACAAUGUCUUAAAGUUUCUCUGUGAGUUAAGUUGGGUGGGUGAAAUCUGCUCUUUUGAACCUGAGGCUGAGUCAGAAUCACAUGUUGUGCAGCAUUGACUAAACAAUUUGCAACACUUUUUGAUAUGUAGUCUGUUUUCUAUUCUCUUCAGUGCAGAGUUGUGACAGAGAGAGAGAGAGAGACAGAGAGAGAAGCGAGCCUCCGCACUGGACUAGUGUGUGGAAAAACAACCGUUAACAACAGUGUCUGCAGAGAAAUCUAGCAGCUCUCUGUGGUGUUGAUGGUUUGACCUGUCCAUGUAAACAAGUACUGGGCUUUAUACACUUUUGUCCUACUUCAAACAAGAAAGAAAGUAAUAGUUCUAGGUUUUUAACAAUAAUUUGUGGACAGCGGUUGAUAUUUUUUAUUAUGAGGGGCGUUUAAAUUUUAAGCAAUUUUUUUCAUAAGUCUCCCAAUUUU